rnacentral:rRNA from 1 species
GAUGAACGCUGGCGGCGUGCCUAAUACAUGCAAGUCGAGCGAUCAGACGAGGAGCUUGCUCUUCUGACGUUAGCGGCGGACGGGUGAGUAACACGUGGGUAACCUACCUAUAAGCCUGGGAUAACUUCGGGAAACCGGAGCUAAUACCGGAUAAUAUAUUGUACCGCAUGUCUCAAUAGUGAAAGACGGUAUUGCUCCCACAUAUAGAUGGAUCCGCGUCGAUUUAGCUAUUUGGGAAGGUAACGGCUUACUAAGGCGAGGAUGAGUAGCGGACCUGAGAGGGUGAUCGGCCAACUUGGACCUGAGACACGGUCCAAACUCCUACGGGAGGCAGAAGUAGGGAAUCUUCCGCAAUGGGCGAAAGCCUAACGGAGCAACGCCGCGUGAGUGAUGAAGGUCUUCGGAUCGUAAAACUCGUUUAUUAGGGAAGAACAAAUGUGUAAGUGACUAUGCACGUCUUGACGGUACCUAAUCAGAAAGCCACGGCUAACUACGUG